CACCGUUUAUUAUUCAGUCUAUUACCCUCCACUGAAUAAUUUAAAAAAAAAAAUACAAAAACCAAAAUGAAUGAGUUACUAUUUUUUAAAGGAGAAAUGACAAAAAGGAAACAAAAGAUGGACAAAAGAUUGGUAGUUUUACAAUGCAAUACUUCAAACCUAAACUCUAUAUUUGGAUAUAAUCAGUCAGUUCAAAAUACACAAAUAGUUCCAAAAGCAUAACGGAUAUAUGAUAAUUUAACACUUCCUCCGUUAAGCGACCAAAGAAGAUUGGCCACUAAACGUACCCGAAUAGCUCCAUCAUUCUUCAAUGCCGGAAGCUAAAUUUCGUUUUGGUCUGGAAUAAAUCUCAGUUUUAUUAAAUAAUCAAGGAUGUGGCAAUCGGAUAGCCAAUUUUGUAAUCUGCCGGCAGCCUUGCCACUCCAGUCUCAAAGGACCAGAAUUGUGCAUUAAACAAAGAUACCCUGGAGCUAUCCUCCAAAUAUCUGGUGCCACGCAAAAAAACACCUCAUUUUGUUCUCUAUGUAUCUUGAUUCCAUGAACUCAUAAAGGUCAGGAGAAUGCCCAUUCUGAAUCAGCAUAAGACCUCUAUUCACCACAAAAGUCUACGUAAAAAGCAUUUUCAGCUCUUCAAUUCGGGCAUUUCGAACUUCUUGAUCAGUCAAGGCACCAGAAAUCAUCCGCUGCUUGCGUGCUUGCACUGCCUCCAUUCUUUCCUCAACCGUUCCCUUUACAAUGAACCGCUUGAUCCUCACUUGUUUUGUUUGUCCAAUGCGAUGAAUCCGCAUCACAGCUUGUUCCUCUACAGCUGGAUUCCACCAAGGGUCCAUGACAAAGGCAUUCGAAGCUGCUGUCAGAUUUAUCCCAACACCUCCAGCCUUCAAUGACAUCAGUAAUACCAGGAUGUUGUCAUCUUCUGAAAACUGUUUUAUAACUCUUUCACGCUGCUGUUGGUUUAGAGUCCCAUCCAGACGAACAAAUGGAAUGCUACUCCUAGAAAGAGGAAUUUGUAAGAGAUCCAGAAAGGCAGUCCAUUGGCUGAAGAGAAUACUCUUAGAUCCUGAUGAAUGAAGAUUUUCAAGUUCUUGCAAAAGAACAUUAACUUUGGAUGAUUCCACCCAAUUUUUUUCAAUAUCAAUCUGGAACCGACUGUCAGUUGGAGCUGUAAUCAGCUCUUGCCUAGUGAUGGUUUUCCUACAAACAGGGCAUAAACCAGAAGAAGGAUUUCGCCAGCUUGCAAACAGACACUCUCGACAUAAGCGGUGAGCACAAGGUGUCAAUACUGCAUCUUCAAAUGCUUCAAGACAUAUUGGACACUCUCCUUGCUCCCCCUUGCGCAACUCUUCCACAACCUCUUGAACAUAUGCCCGUGAAGGCAUAUCUCUGGCAUCCUGGCCACCUUUAAGGAAGCGUUUUGCUAGCUUGUUUAGGUCAGAAUAUUCUUGUGUAUCACCUCGACUCAUCACAAGAAAUGGAUGAUCACAACAUUGGCGAAGGCGUAAAAGUAACUCCAAGAUAGAAGCAUAAUUAUGAAGAACUCGUCCUUGCUCUACAAACUGAUCAAACUUCACCUUGGAUCUUUUAAACAAAGCUUCAUAGAAAUCUCUUUCUGCUUCUGUCAGUUCACAAUAUAUCACCUGAAUCUCUGCAGGAGGGAGAACUAGAAUUGGCCUGCCUUCUCGAUCUGUGCUAGACUUUGUUCUCCUUAACAUAAUUGGCUUUAAGAUAGACUGAAUCAACUUCAGCCCUCUCUCAUCACCCUCCUCAAAUGGUUUUUGGACAAGUUUAUUCCACCAUGCCCAACUUUCCCAAGGUUCCACCUUCAAAAACCGAAGAAGACUGUAGAUGUCCUCCAGGUUAUUCUGGAUAGGAGUGCCAGUAAGACACCAGCGGCACUCAGCAACUAGAGCAGCAGCAGCAAUGGAAAUUUGACUUCUUGAAGAUUUUAUCGUGUGCGCCUCAUCAAGAAUCACUCUAAACCACUGAACUGAAUAGAGUCCCCCAUUCUCUUCAGCAUUCUCUGCCGAAAACUCUGAAGCUAAUACUCCAUAUGUAGUUAUUACAACGUCAUUCUGAGCUAGAAGCUUCGUGUCCUUUGUUCUACUUUGUCCAUAGUGAACAUAUAUAGACAAAGAACCAGGUUGUGCGUGAGUUUCUAUCUCUGCCUGACAGUACACUCUAAAGCUUAGAUCAACUCUCAGGAACAACAAGGCAUGUGAUUAACAAUGUAACACUUUCACUCUUAAGGAAUCAACAACUGUGAGUAUUAAGUACAGUAAGUAUAUGAUAAAGGGAAACAACGACAAAUCAACAAAUGGCAAUCACAAUAAGCAUCAAAGUGGCAACACAAGUACCUUCCACUGGCCCAGAAGAGUCAUAGGGCAUAUAAUCAGAUUGCCACCAUCUGCAAGAAUUUUCUUCUGCUUCAUCAACUUAUCAAAGCCAGAAAAUUUUUUAAACUUUUUCAGAGGAUUUGGCGAUACUAAAAUAUCAUCAAUGUCACCAUCUUCAUUGGGAAGAUGACUCAC
rnacentral:misc_RNA from 1 species